rnacentral:rRNA from 1 species
CGGGUGAGUAAUGUCUGGGAAACUGCCUGAUGGAGGGGGAUAACUACUGGAAACGGUAGCUAAUACCGCAUAAUGUCUGCGGACCAAAGCGGGGGACCUCCGGGCCUCGCGCCAUCAGAUGAACCCAUAUGGGAUUAGCUUGUAGGUAAGGUAACGGCUCACCUAGGCGACGAUCCCUAGCUGGUCUGAGAGGAUGAUCAGCCACACUGGGACUGAGACACGGCCCAG